UGGGCAUGGGCGAAGGGGCGAGGAGAAUAAGAAUGGAAGAGGAAGAGAAACAGACCUCCAUACUGCUACCAUGGUGCCACCUUGGCACAGGCACAGUGCGGCGAAACGAACAGCAGAGCGGGCAGAGAAAAGGAAGCUAUCCGCUGACAGCAGAGCAUAGAAGUGAGGAAGAUGCCAGCAGACACAGGAUGACUCAGAUGUAGAUGGAUGAAGGGAAGCAUAGAAGUAUGUUGAGGAGAGAACUGGGUGAUAUUAUGAAACUCCAUUGCGUGCCAGCCAGCGGGCACCAUGCCAGCCUGCAGUCGUGGCACAACCGAAGCGAUCAAAGCGAUCGGCGGAGAACUGUCUUAGUCAAAGACAAGGGGACUCACCUCCUGAGGAUUUGCUGCUAAUUGCCAUUUGUUUGCUUGGACAAAGCCAAGAAGAGGUGCCCAGGCAACGGUUGCCAGCGAUUCUGUGAUGGCAUCUUUUCAGGGGCGGCAAGGGCACGGGGAGAAAGAUGGCAUGUGCCAAGCCAACAUAACACACAUUUGCAAACAGAAACCUCCAUACGGUAAGCAGAACAUUUCGGAUGCCUUAAAUGUUUUGGCGAUGGCAUCCCCUCAAGGGAGAGACCAGAAGCAGAGAUGGCAUCAUGCCAAACGCAAACAGGGAGGCAUUCACGGGCGCCACCAGAAGCUGUAGAAAAGCGUAGUAAAUGCGGACACAAAAUAGUAGCAGAAGGUCUGAACCAGAGCUGUAUGCAAGUAUGGUAGGAGUAUGGGACAAAUACCAUUUCCUCGAUGCCAACCCUGCUCAGUGCCAACUGCUGCACUGAAAGGAAGCUGCUGCCCAUUACAAAGAGCUACAAGGGAUCAUACCAUUCCAUUAUGAAGAGGAAGAGUAUGUGUAAGAAGAGGAAUAAUGAGCAAAAUGAAUAAAGUAUAUAGAAGAAGAAAAAUGGGGAAUGUUGUGCUUUACGAAGAACAUGAGGAGUGGGUGGACAAGGAUGAUGAAGAGCCCCUUUUCCUACACAUGCACACCUGGGACAUUCUUAAAGGGAUAUCCCCUCAGACUGCUGUGUGUGUUAAAGGGAGGGAUGUGUUGGCAUCAACUCCAGGGUGUCAAGCUGCGUUUCUCUGUUGCCAGUCAGGGAGGGGGCUGCAGUCGUCAAGGGCGGGCAACUGUCUGGGCAUCUCAUCUGCAGCUAAUUAACAGCCACACACUAAUUCUAACAGCCGAUCAUAAUUAGCGAUUUAAUCGCUCGUCAACGCUUUACUCCCCCCUUAAAUUGUGUCUCCUAUUUGGACACGUGCGGAUAAGCUAAGGAACGCCGGAUCCCCCCUCCCCUCCUCCUCGUCCUUCUUUCCUUCAUCCUUGGCUCCAGACUCCAGUGGGAUCUUAAUUAAGCCUGGGCUUCAUUAUGCAAAUGGAGUACAAUAAACGACAGCAGAGGUGGAGCUGGAUCCAGACUGAAACGGAACAGUGGGAGGGGAGCACUGGAAGUGGAAAAUGAAGAGAUGUGGAAGGUUACCAAAAUCGUCUAUAUGAUGUUACUGCGUUCCAAUAAUUAUAUAUUGUUGUAACAUGUAUGUCUUCGGUGUACCACUACCACAUGUGGUGUGAGAACCAACAUUUCUCGCUCUGAUGCUCCAUCUCUGUUGCCUUUGGAAAAAACUCUGAAAUAGCACUGGAUACGCAGAAUGUCAUCUCUCACAAAGCAAAUUCAUAAGGGAAUGGUGACAAUGAACCCCUUUAAUAUCACCAGUUGGCCGUUGUCGUGGAUACGAAGAAAGAUGGUAGAGAUAGGAAAAGAGGAAGGAGGUAGACAGAAACAGUGACAGUGGCUACAGCAUGGCAGCUAAUGUCAUCUCAGUUUAAUCAUCGCUUGGGAUCAUGGGGUUCAUGAAAAUUAAUUUGCAUAUCAUUAAAUGGAGAGAGGUUAUUUGGUGCAGGCAGCCAAAAUGGGAUUGGAUGAAGCAAGAAAAAAAAAAAAAAGGCAAAUGGAGGGACUCGUUAUUAAACAGCAAUGUUUUAUAGUCCGCCAGCCGAUUCAUUUAAUUUGGGCGUAAUUAAAAUGUGUCAGACUCAAUCAAUCAUUCCAACUGGGAUACUAUCAAUGUUUCAGUCUGAAAAAAGACUAAUCAGUAGAUAUGCGGUCGGACAUUUUCCAAUAACAGUUUAAGUGCUUUAGUCUACUGUGAGUUUGACCCAUCCACUCUUUUUUCUAAUUUAUCUGUAGGAGUUUAUCAAAACAUCCGUUGUGUCAAGACAUGUCUAUCUCUGACAGGUGGUAGUGCCACCCUGUGUUAGUCAAUAAGAGGAUAGCUCACACUAGUCAUGUUUCCAUCUAAUUUUCAAGCGAAUUUUAAGCGAACUUUUAAAAAAAAAGCGAAUUAGAAGCGUUUUCAUCAACUGGUUUAGAGCGAAUAAACUAGACUACGCAAAGGGUAGUUUCAUCACAAGUUGACGUUACGCAUGGUUGUAGAUUGCAAACCGGCUAGCUAAAUCAAAGAGUUUAGAAGCUUAAUUCUUUUGCUAAAUGGAGAGAGGUAGCAUUGUAGAAGUUGGCAACCUGUGCAGAAUACAGGUUUGUAGCAGAGACAUUUGGUGUCAGUGAGACAACCAUUGACCGCUGUGUAUACGCAGUGUGCAGGGCCAUACGAUUCAAGCUAUUGAACCAAUUCGUCAAUUUACCCGACGUGGCUGAGGCACAGGCUAUAGCACACCGCAACUCCACAACGCACCUUGUGCCACAAGUGUACAGCGCACUGGAUGGGACCCAUAUCCUGACCCUUCCCCCAUCCGAUGGAUACCGGGACUAUAGUCAUGUGAGUUACAUGUUCGCAACGUCACAACUUAUUCGGUAAAGCUGUUUCCAUCUCCCAUUUUGCGCUCUUUUUC